rnacentral:rRNA from 1 species
CAAUAGCGUAUAUUAAAGUUGUUGCAGUUAAAAAGCUCGUAGUUGGAUUUCGGGGUGAGCUUGAUGGUCGGCCACUGGCUGUACUGUCGGGGUCAUUCUUCCUGUCGGGGACCAUGCCUUCUCUUAGUUGGGCGGGUAUGGGAAACGGCACGUUUACUGUGAGAAAAUUAGAGUGUUCAAAGCAGGCCAAUGCUGUGAAUACAUUAGCAUGGAAUAAUGGAAUAGGACUUUGGUUCUAUUUUGUUGGUUUCUAGGACCGAAGUAAUGAUUAAUAGGGAUAGUUGGGGGCAUUCAUAUUUAAUUGUCAGAGGUGAAAUUCUUGGAUUUAUGAAAGAUGAACUUCUGCGAAAGCAUUUGCCAAGGAUGUUUUCAUUAA